GAACUGAAGAGUUUGAUCAUGGCUCAGAUUGAACGCUGGCGGCAGGCCUAACACAUGCAAGUCGAGCGGAUGAAGGGGGCUUGCUCCUGGAUUCAGCGGCGGACGGGUGAGUAAUGCCUAGGAAUCUGCCUGGUAGUGGGGGAUAACGUCCGGAAAC
rnacentral:rRNA from 1 species